rnacentral:rRNA from 1 species
GAUGAACGCUGGCGGCGUGCCUAAUACAUGCAAGUCGAGCGAACGGACGAGAAGCUUGCUUCUCUGAUGUUAGCGGCGGACGGGUGAGUAACACGUGGAUAACCUACCUAUAAGACUGGGAUAACUUCGGGAAACCGUAGCUAAUACCGGAUAAUAUUUUGAACCGCAUGGUUCAAAAGUGAAAGACGGUCUUGCUGUCACUUAUAGAUGGAUCCGCGCUGCAUUAGCUAGUUGGUAAGGUAACGGCUUACCAAGGCAACGAUGCAUAGCCGACCUGAGAGGGUGAUCGGCCACACUGGAACUGAGACACGGGCCAGACUCCUACGGGAGGCAGCAGUAGGGAAUCUUCCGCAAUGGGCGAAAGCCUGACGGAGCAACGCCGCGUGAGUGAUGAAGGUCUUCGGAUCGUAAAACUCUGUUAUUAGGGAAGAACAUAUGUGUAAGUAACUGUGCACAUCUUGACGGUACCUAAGCAGAAAGCCACGGCUAACUACGU